UAAAGCUAUGAAAGGUGUAUGCAAAGUUCUUUAUUGGAAUACCCGGUCAAAAAUACCAAAAACAUGGAAUGAGAGGAAAGAUUGGUCGGUUUAUCCCUAUCGUGAUCUUGUGAAGAGGAGGAAUGACAAUGCCACUUGCAAGGGGUACAACUUCAAGAAUCCAACAAGGCUUGCAUAGUUUUUAAUUUCAAGUUUUUGGGUUAAUGAUUAGGGGUUUGGUUUUGCUUUGACUAAAUCUCAAACAAAACUAGCAUUUCAGGAACUGGUGUUUUGUUGACUAUUAAAUUGAUAUAGUCGAUGGAAUGAAUUGAAA